UUACCUCCGCCAGGAGGUUAUGUAAUCAUCUGGGUUUGUAUGUGUGUGUGUGUGUGUAUGUGUGUGUGUAUGUGUGUGUGUGUGUAUGUGUGUGUGUUUGUCUGUGAGCACGAUAACUCACGAAAUACCAAACAUAUCCGUACGAAAUUUUGUGAGUGCAUUUCCCAUCGGCUAAGGAAGAACUGAUUAAAAUUUGGUUGAAUUUGGUUAAAAAUUGAAUGAGAAAUAACAAAAGUUUUUCUUGCUUUUCCCGGUCAAUUAAAUAAAAC